rnacentral:rRNA from 1 species
GUCCUCUUGUUUCUUUAGGAGGUUUGGCCUGCCCAGUGAUAUAUUUAACGGCCGCGGUAUCUUGACCGUGCAAAGGUAGCAUAAUCAUUAGUCUUUUAAUAGAAGGCUGGAAUGAAGGGUUUGACGAAGCAAUAACUGUCUCAUUUAAAUGGUAUUAAAAUUUAACUUUUGAGUUAAAAGGCUCAAAUAUUGUUGGAAGACGAGAAGACCCUAUAGAGCUUUAUAUUUAUGGUUUUGGUUUUAAUUAGUUUAUAAGUUUUAAUCAUUAUAUAUCGAUAUUUUGUUGGGGUGACAAGAAAUACUUAAUUAACUUUUAUAUUUAUUUUACAUUGUUUUAUGGUUAUUAGAUCCUUUACUAUGGAUUAUUAGAAUAAGUUACCUUAGGGAUAACAGCGUAAUCCUCUUUUGGAGUUCAAAUUUACAAGAGGGCUUGCGACCUCGAUGUUGGAUUAAGAUAAUAGUUAGGUGUAGUAGCUUAAUUUAUAGGUCUGUUCGACCUUUAAUUUCUUACAUGAUCUGAGUUCAGACCGG